AGGAAAAUUUUAUUCAAGAUUAUUACAACGGGGGAAGAGAUUGAACUCAACUCCACGGAAACAGGAAAGAGAAUUUUUAAGCUCUACGGGCAAAGGUUAACACUGAGGAGAAACUGCUGGAAGUAGAAUCCAAAUUAAGUAAGAGAAGAAACAGAGACCAGAUCCAGGUCCCCACUUGAAUCACUAUAAUUAUUGAAAAUAGCAGCUGAUACGUACCAAUAUAAAACUGAAGACUU